GACGAACGCUGGCGGCGUGCUUAACACAUGCAAGUCGAACGAAGUGGCGAACGGGUGAGUAACGCGUAAUCAACCUGCCCUUCAGAGGGGGACAACAGUUGGAAACUACUGCUAAUACCGCAUACUGAAGUCGGGGAUUGCGUCGGAUUAGCUAGUUGGAGGGGUAACGGCCCACCAAGGCGAUGAUCAGUAACUGGUCUGAGAGAAGGACAAGCCACACAGGGACUGAGACACGGCCAAGACUCCUACGGGAGGCAGCAGUGGGGAAUCUGCCGAAAUGGACGAAAGUCUGACGGAGCAACGCCGCGUGAGUGAUGACGGCCUUCGGGUUGUAAAGCUCUGUUAAUCGGGACGCGGUACCGGAAUAGAAAGCACCGGCUAACUCCGUGCCAGCAGCCGCGGUAAUAC
rnacentral:rRNA from 1 species